rnacentral:rRNA from 1 species
UACGUAGGGGGCAAGCGUUGUCCGGAAUCAUUGGGCGUAAAGCGCGCGUAGGCGGCCCGGUAAGUCCGUUGUGAAAGUCAAAGGCUCAACCUUUGAACGCCGAUGGAUACUGCCGGGCUAGAGUCCGGAAGAGGCGAGUGGAAUUCCUGGUGUAGCGGUGGAAUGCGCAGAUAUCAGGAGGAACACCAAUAGCGAAGGCAGCUCGCUGGGACGGUACUGACGCUGAGAAGCGAAAGCAUGGGGAGCGAACAGG